rnacentral:misc_RNA from 1 species
GUUAUAUGUUAGAGAAUUCUAUAAAUUGUGGUUGGAUAUAUUGGUGUAAAUGGAGAUGCAGGGAUAUUGUUCAUGCCAAGUUAGGAUGCUUUUUAAAGUAUUGUUGUAUUGGAAUCAACAUGUGGCAUGGUUGAAAGGUGGUUCAGGGAAUGUUAUUGACUAAUUUUUCCCCGCUGAUCAAAUACCCCAAAGAGGCCGAUGCUUAGAC